rnacentral:rRNA from 1 species
CCCAUGCNGUAAACGUUGGGCAUAGGUGUGGGGACAUUCCAGUUUUCCGCGCCGUAGCUAACGCAUUAAGUGCCCCGCCUGGGGAGUACGGCCGCAAGGCUUAAAACUCAAAGGAAUUGACGGGGGCCCGCACAAGCGGCGGAGCAUGCUGAUUAAUUCGAUGCAACGCGAAGAACCUUACCAAGGCUUGACAUGCACUGGACGGCUGCAGAGAUGUGGCUUUCUUUGGACUGGUGCACAGGUGGUGCAUGGUUGUCGUCAGCUCGUGUCGUGAGAUGUUGGGUUAAGUCCCGCAACGAGCGCAACCCUCGUUCUAUGUUGCCAGCACGUGAUGGUGGGGACUCAUAGGAGACUGCCGGGGUCAACUCGGAGGAAGGUGGGGACGACGUCAAAUCAUCAUGCCCCUUAUGUCUUGGGCUUCAAGCAUGCUACAAUGGUCGGUACAAUGGGUUGCGAAACUGUGAGGUGGAGCGAAUCCCAAAAAGCCGGCCUCAGUUCGGAUUGGGGUCUGCAACUCGACCCCAUGAAGUCGGAGUCGCUAGUAAUCGCAGAUCAGCAACGCUGCGGUGAAUACGUUCCCGGGCCUUGUACACACCGCCCGUCAAGUCACGAAAGUCGGUAACACCCGAAGCCAGUGCCCAUCCUCGUGAGGGAGCUUCUAAGUNGANC